rnacentral:rRNA from 1 species
UACAGAGGGUGCGAGCGUUAAUCGGAAUUACUGGGCGUAAAGCGCUCGUAGUCGGCUUUGCAAGUCGGGUGUGAAAUCCCCGGGCUCAACCUGGGAACUGCAUCCGAGACUGCAUUGCUAGAGUAUGGGAGAGGGAAGCGGAAUUUCUGGUGUAGCAGUGAAAUGCGUAGAUAUCAGAAGGAACAUCAGUGGCGAAGGCGGCUUCCUGGACCAAUACUGACGAUCAGGUGCGAAAGCGUGGGGAGCAAACAGG